GCACCCUAACGACCACAAAUCUA
rnacentral:siRNA from 1 species